rnacentral:rRNA from 1 species
AGAGUUUGAUCCUGGCUCAGAUUGAACGCUGGCGGCAUGCCUAACACAUGCAAGUCGAACGGAAACGAAGGAAGCUUGCUUCCAGGCGUCGAGUGGCGGACGGGUGAGUAAUGCUUGGGAAUCUGCCCAAUAGUGGGGGAAAAUUCGAGGAAACUCGAACUAAUACCGCAUAAGCUCUUCGGAGGAAAGGGGGCCUCUACAUGUAAGCUCUCGCUAAUGGAUGAGCCCAAGUCAGAUUAGCUUGUUGGUAAGGUAAUGGCUUACCAAGGCUACGAUCUGUAGCUGGUCUGAGAGGAUGAUCAGCCACACUGGGACUGAGACACGGCCCAGACUCCUACGGGAGGCAGCAGUGGGGAAUAUUGCACAAUGGGCGAAAGCCUGAUGCAGCAAUGCCGCGUGUGUGAAGAAGGCUCUAGGGUUGUAAAGCACUUUCAAUAAGGAAGAAAAGCAUGAGGUUAAUAACUUCAUGUAUUGACUUAACUUAUACAAGAAGCACCGGCUAAUUCCGUGCCAGCAGCCGCGGUAAUACGGAAGGUGCAAGCGUUAAUCGGAAUUACUGGGCGUAAAGCGCGCGUAGGCUGUUAUCUAAGUCGAAUGUGAAAUCCUCGGGCUCAACCUGGGAACUGCAUCCGAAACUGGAUAACUAGAGUAUGGGAGAGGUAAGUAGAAUUUCCGGUGUAGCGGUGAAAUGCGUAGAUAUCGGAAGGAAUACCAGUGGCGAAGGCGGCUUACUGGCCAAGUUAUGACGCUGAGGGACGAAAGCGUGGGUAGCAAACAGGAUUAGAUACCCUGGUAGUCCACGCCGUAAACGAUGACAACUAGCUGUUGGAAGUGAUAGAGCUUUU